rnacentral:misc_RNA from 1 species
UUGUGGAGGAGGACGCCGAAGGUGGGGCUAAUGACUGGGGUGAAGUCGUAACAAGGUAGCCGUACCGGAAGGUGCGGCUGGAUCACCUCCUAACAGGGAGACAACAAAAUGUAAAUAUUAAUUUUGUCACCUUAGGUCGAUCGGUAUCUCAGAUUCUUAUUUUUUAAGAAUUUCAGUUUCUAAGUUUUUUCUAGGUCACACCCAUCACUUUUUCCUGGGCCAUUAGCUCAGGUGGUUAGAGCGCACCCCUGAUAAGGGUGAGGUCCCUGGUUCAAGUCCAGGAUGGCCCAUAUCUCUAUGUUGGGGGUAUAGCUCAGUUGGUAGAGCGCCUGCUUUGCAAGCAGGAUGUCAGCGGUUCGAGUCCGCUUACCUCCACUGAAUACCACCUCUUACAUAUAUUUAAAGAGGGAAAUUGUUUUGAGUCGUGUCCUAAUUUCUUCUGAGCGAAUCUAGCUUCCUAUUUUAUUUAAUUAAUUAAUAAGAUGCUGGACUCAUUGAAUUAUUUUCAUUGUUUUCAGAGAACCUUGACAACUGCAUAGAUUAUUUUUGAAGACAAUAAGCAUCUUUAAUGAUGCAGAUUUAUUAUUUGUGCUGAUGCAUUAAAUAACAAUUCUAUUAAGCUGAUGCUUCAAUUAUUGAAGUUAUUGGUCAAGCUACAA